UCAAUCCUCCCAAGUCCCAAUCUUCCUUCCUAGAAGUAGAAGGGAAGCAGUUCUUCCUCUUUUAUGCCUCUAGGGUUAGGGCUUCUUUAGGCCUCGGGAGCUCCUCCUCUCUGGCUCUUCGCUGGCUAGUUCUCUCAUCACGAUCCAAAUCAUCUCAAGAUGAUUCCUUGGAAUGGCUCGGCUCCGAAUUCUAGUAUGGAAUGCUCUUCGUCGCGUAAUUGAUGGGACGAGCUGGUUCUAGGUUUCAGGGCGGUGCUUUUGAUCUUAUAUCAUUUAGAUGGAUGGUGAAGUUGGAGGAAGUAUAUAGGGUCAUUUGGAUAGUCAUUUUGCUGCAGUUUAUGAUGUGAUGAGUCUUCUUGGUCCUACAUUCACUGAAUUCUGAUCACUUAGAUAUAAUAUCAGCUAUGCUACUUGAGAAGGUGGUUGCACAUGAAUUAGCUGACAAUGAACAGGCAGCAAAUGGUUUGAUGGAGGCGGCCAUUAGCUAAGAGGAAGCACUUAAAAGAGAGCUAGAAGACCAUAAAUGAAUGGAAAUGGUUCUUUUGCAGUCUUCUAUAGACUCUGGCUUGCUCCGUGCACCCUCUCAAGAAAUACCUCCAAAACAAAGCCUUAUUGGGAUAAAGCGAAAAGCGGCAUCUGAAAAUAUCCCUGACCAAGCCCUGCAAGGAAACCAUGAUCGAUUGCCUUUCCCUGAGCAUUCACAGAAUCGACAACUUCUUCUCAGGCAUUCACAGGGUCAACAACCGUUGUUGCAACAGUCUGACAGUCAGCGACCACCACCAAACCAGAUAGGAUCCUUUUGGUGCAAUAUCUGCAAGAUGAAUUGUGGUAAUGCUUUUAAUCUCAAGUGUCACUUCCAAGGAAAAAAACACAAGGCCAAAUGGGUUGAGGUCUCUCAAUGCAUGUCCUCUGAACCAAGUGGGAACAAGGUCAAACGAAGGAAGAAUACCAGACAGCAUGCAAGCAACAAUUCCACACCUUCAAACGAGGUAGCAUACUUUUGGUGCAAUCUCUGCAAAGUGAACUGCGGCAAUGCUUUUAACCUUGAGUGCCAUUCUCAAGGGAAAAAACACAAGGCCAAAUGGAAUGAGGUCUUUGGAAGCAGGAAGACCAUUCCGGAUGGGAAAAGGGUCAAUGGAAGGAAGAAUACCAAACCUCGAAAGCCAAGUUUAUUGGGAUAAAACAAGUAGUAGUAUCAGCAAGUCUACGGAAGUCAAGAUUAAAGACUGCUGCUGAAACAACUUUAAGAUUGGUGGGCCCUACUGCAACUGAUGCUAUUAAGAUGACCUUCAGAGCAGCAAGUCCAGAAUCACUGAACCUUAAUGCAACAGUUACAGGUUACUCCUCAGGAUAACUACCGGAUUAAUUAUGUAUAUACUUGGAAGAGAUCUAAACCCAUGAUCUCAAGCAACCUUAGCUCUGGUGCUAUGGAAAAAUAAUCACUUGACCCAAAAGCUUAAGCUGCUGAGGAAUUGAUGGAGUGUAUAGUAGGUUUUUAGUUAACAAGUUCUUUGGAUGGAAUGUCACUGUACUGAAUGUGAAUGAUGUCAAGGAAGCAAGAAUGUCAAUGCUAAAUGGGAGUUAAACUGUAUGGUGGAAGGAGUGCGAAAGGAGUGUUGGUGGCUCAGCAUUGUGCUGGAAGAAUUAUGUUGUUCCUUGCCUGGCUUUAUGAGAGAAGAAAUAAAGAAGUGAUGGUGCUUAUGGUUCUGUUGUUGGUGGGGAGAUGCAAAGUCUGAAUGUAUUUUUGGAUUUAAAUAUCUGGAAUUGUUCAAGAGGAAUCGUGAAUCUCUGAAUGAUGGCCUGCUAUGAAAAAAGGGAUUUGAUGCAUCUAAAGUGCUUUAUCAAACGGAGGAUCAUAGCCAUCAGUGCUUCCUCUCACAUCAUGACUCCCAAGUUCAAGAAGGGGAGGCAGAGGGGCUGGGGUCAGGUUGCAAAUGGUGGGAUGAAGUGCUCGGUGGAGGUGCUGUAUGUAAGGCUGGAUGCGAGGGACAUGCUGGUCAUGCUACUUAAUAUCUCCAUUGAUGAUAGUGGUGGUGGAAGCAGGUAUAGUGCAGUGGUGGUGGCAGAUGUGGUAGCUUGGUUUGCUCUUUAUGUGGGUUGCUUUGGUACCAGAUAUUAAACAAUUCUGAAUACAGACCUGUACUGUUGUUUAUUUCUAGUAUACGACUAACAGGUUGCAAUCUUAGACCACGGUCACUGAAUGAUGAUGUCGAGCCAUUAAUCAAAUCAGACUGGAGAUCUUUCUGAGCAAAGCUAGUUGCUAGUGAGCAAGCAUCACUUGAUCCUAAUGGGCUCACCCCAUCCAUGGGCCCCCAAAGUGUUGUCUCCUCAUUGCCACUAAGAAGCUCGACGACGUUCGCAUAUUCGAGAGUAUCGCCGCCGUCAACAGGCCUAUUAGGGCUGCCGGCAUCAUACUCAAGCGGCCACCUCUUUUGUCCAUGAAGGAGAUCCAAACAAUAAGCUCGGACAUCGAAGGGAUCGGCGGCCCAUUGGAGGAGGGCCUUUUCUUGGUGGGCCUCCAAGGUGGGGAUGAUAGGGUGGGGAGGAAUGGGGUGUUUGAGGAGGUGAUGGAGGAGAUUGUAUUGUGCUGAUUAGAUGGUCAAGAGGAAUGUGGUUGGGGUGGGUGACUUGAGGUUGUUUUAUGGGUGCUGUGGUUGGGGGAGGGAGCAAGCUGAAGGAGGAAAUAAGAGAGGGAUUUUGGAGGAAGUGUUGGGCUGUGGGAGGAAAGGUGUUGGGCCUUGUUUUUGAACAGAAGGUGUGACAACUCCUAAAGGGAGGAAGAAGAUCUGCUAUGCCCUUGGAAGGAAGAGAGAAGAGUAGCUCUUAGCAUAGAGUGCCUUCUAAGUAAUUCUUGAAAUGAAGGGUCCCUGGGCUCUUGAUCUUCUUACCUAACAUGGGGUCAAAUAAGACACUUGACCAUCUAACUGGAUGUAGUUCAUUUAUUCUUGUCAUUUGGUGAUUAUUAGAUUCCUGCGAUUGACCACAAUCAUAUAACAAGAGUGAGGACCAUGCCAGUAUCUGUUAGUUCAUGAGAAGAAGGGCAACCUAACCUGGGGUCAUGGCUUGCCAACCAUUUAACAAUUAGGGCAUGUUGAUCAAAAUAUUUCGACAACCGAUCCCUCAUUUCUAUGGUAACUGAAUUUUUAGUUGUUUCACCCGUGUUUAAAAAUGUUUGUGUGUGAAGCAAGGCACAAAUGUGUGCAGGAUUAAUCUAUUAUUGAUUCAAAUGAAAUGUAUCUGGCUCUAAUAGUUAAAAGGAUGGUCAAACAAGGGAUGCGGAAUUAAUUUUCUCUUAAAAAAUUGAUGGUGUCACCAAA